GUAAGCUCUCUGCAACAGAUUCCUUUUUAUACUUUCCAGCCCACCAGAAUAUUGGAAAGGAAUUACGGGAAGGGGUCUGGCCUCUGUCUGUCAGCAAGGUGAUUUUCCCAAACCGAACAGAAUGGGACCAAAUCUGCUAUGCCUAAAGAAGAUGACAAAAGACAGCCUAAGCUUUAAAAAGGGCUGGAUGCGCCCGGAGCCCCACCAGAAAUGGCCACAGAGGCCCGGAGCAGGAAGUCCCACAGCUGCUGUCCUCCCGGCGACACAGAAGGAGAGCAGGGGAAUCAACUGGAAACACACCUGGAAAAGAUGCCUCGGCUCCAACUUUGAAGGGUGUCCACAGGAUAUGGUGAAAAAGGUCAAGAUGAUGUUGAGACCCAAGCUCUGCUUUCUCUGUGCGUCACCUGCAACACCACUGGCUCCAAGCGUCAUUGAGUUUUUAAAAACUAAGAAUUUGUGGUAGAAAGACAAGUUCAUAGAAGAAUCACAUCACUUCAUGUGGGACAACAGUGAAUGGGUUGGAAAAAUCUCAUCCCGCAGGAGUGAAGGUUUUACAAGCUGCAGAAUUUU